CUAUGUAGUUGCAAUUUCAUUUCCCGUCCACUAGGUGGCAGUAGAGACACUGUUAGGAAGGGAGAUACGUAGAUGAAGAGCACUGGUUGCUAUGGAUACAGAGCGAGAUACCGAUGAAAGAAAACGGAUCGCAUUGAAGAACAAUAAGCUUGAUUCCCAACGAACUUUCGCCGAACUUCCCUGGGUGCACGCGCGGCCAGCAGCAGUGACUGAGGAGCGUCUGGCCACUUGUCUCCUACAGCCGCGUCUCGUUCUCCAUCCAGGCUCCAGAGAUAAGGAGAUCCAUUGCACACACCCGCACGUGGGACACAUAAAAAAACCUACUACCCGGGUAGAUUGACACUUUUGGACGUUGAUAUUAUUUAUUUAUUUAUUUAAUUAUUUUAUUUUAUUUCUUUAAGCCAGAGCUCUGAGGUUUUCUUUUCUACUUUCUUAUUUCUUCUAUUUUUUCUAUUUAUUCUUCCUCCUUGAUGAAAAGGACAAUACCAAGGACAAUCUAAGGAGUCUAUACAGAGAAAAGAGUUCUCACUUGAGUGUUGUUUUUACAUGAAUAAAUGCCGGCAAUGCUUUGAAACUUUA